rnacentral:rRNA from 1 species
CGGUACCCUAACCGUGCAAAGGUAGCGAAUCAUUUGUCUAUUAAUUGUAGACCUGUAUGAAAGGCAAAAUGAGGGCCUAACUGUCUCUUAUAACUAAUCAAUUAAACUGAUCUCCCAGUACAAAAGCUGGAAUAAAAACAUUAGACCAGAAGACCCUGUGAAGCUUAAAUAAAACUAUCAAACCAUAUGAUAGCUAAUUUCGGUUGGGGCGACCUUGGAAAAAAAAAGAACUUCCAAACAAAAAGCUUUAUAUAGCAACAAACCAAAGGCUAACAGGCCAAACAACGACCCAGCACCGCUGAUUAAUGAAACAAGUUACUCCAGGGAUAACAGCGCUAUCUUCUUCAAGAGUCCAUAUCAAAAAGAAGGUUUACGACCUCGAUGUUGGAUCAGGACAUCCUAAUGG